rnacentral:rRNA from 1 species
ACGGCUCAGUAACACGUAGUCAACAUGCCCAGGGGACGUGGAUAACCUCGGGAAACUGAGGAUAAACCGCGAUAGGCCAAGGUNUCUGGAAUGGAUCAUGGCUGAAACCUAUAUGGCCCCUGGAUUGGACUGCGGCCGAUCAGGCUGUUGGUGAGGUAAUGGCCCACCAAACCUGUAACCGGUACGGGCUCCGAGAGGAGGAGCCCGGAGAUGGGCACUGAGACAAGGGCCCAGGCCCUAUGGGGCGCAGCAGGCGCGAAACCUCUGCAAUAGGCGAAAGCUUGACAGGGUUACUCUGAGUGAUGUCCGCUAAGGGCAUCUUUUGGCACUUCUAAAAAUAGUGUAGAAUAAGGGGUGGGCAAGUCUGGUGUCAGCCGCCGCGGUAAUACCAGCACCCCGAGUGGUCGGGACGAUUAUUGGGCCUAAAGCAUCCGUAGCCGGUUCUGCAAGUCUUCCGUUAAAUCCACCUGCUCAACAGAUGGGCUGCGGAGGAUACUACAGGGCUAGGAGGCGGGAGAGGCAAGCGGUACUCAGUGGGUAGGGGUAAAAUCCUCUGAUCCACUGAAGACCACCAGUGGCGAAGGCGGCUUGCCAGAACGCGCUCGACGGUGAGGGAUGAAAGCUGGGGGAGCAAACCGGAUUAGAUACCCGGGUAGUCCCAGCUGUAAACGAUGCAGACUCGGUGAUGGGUUGGCUUCGAGCCAACCCAGUGCCGCAGGGAAGCCGUUAAGUCUGCCGCCUGGGGAGUACGGUCGCAAGACUGAAACUUAAAGGAAUUGGCGGGGGAGCAC